rnacentral:rRNA from 1 species
CCUGAUGCAGCAACGCCGCGUGAGUGAUGAAGGCCUUCGGGUCGUAAAACUCUGGCCUCAAGGAAGAUAAUGACGGUACUUGGGGAGGAAGCCCCGGCUAACUACGUGCCAGCAGCCGCGGUAAUACGUAGGGGGCUAGCGUUAUCCGGAGUUACUGGGCGUAAAGGGUGCGUAGGCGGUCUUGCAAGUCAGGAGUGAAAGGCUACGGCUCAACCGUAGUAAGCUCUUGAAACUGGGAGACUUGAGUGCAGGAGAGGAGAGUGGAAUUCCUAGUGUAGCGGUGAAAUGCGUAGAUAUUAGGAGGAACACCAGUUGCGAAGGCGGCUCUCUGGACUGU